GAAGGUAUAGCUCAGUGGUAGAGCGCACACCUAGCAUGCAUGAGGUCCUGGGUUCAAUCUCCAGUACCUCCA
rnacentral:tRNA from 1 species